UCCUACGGGAGGCAGCAGUGAGGAAUAUUGGUCAAUGGAGGCAACUCUGAACCAGCCAAGUCGCGUGAAGGAUGACGGCCCUACGGGUUGUAAACUUCUUUUUUAAGGGAAUAAAGUGAGCCACGUGUGGCUUUUUGCAUGUACCUUACGAAUAAGGAUCGGCUAACUCCGUGCCAGCAGCCGCGGUAAUAAUCGU
rnacentral:rRNA from 1 species